AACAAAAUGGCAGAUAAAUGCAAUAAAUUGUAAAUUUAUUAAUAUAAUUAAUAUUAUUUUUGUUA
rnacentral:tRNA from 1 species